AUUGAACGCUGGCGGCCGGCCUAACACAUGCAAGUCGAACGAGGGGCGGACGGGUGAGUAAUGUCUGGGAAACUGCCUGAUGGAGGGGGAUAACUACUGGAAACGGUAGCUAAUACCGCAUACCAUGCGUUUAGCUGAGCUGGCAUUAGCUUGUUGGAGGGGUAACGGCGCACUAAUGCGACGAUCCCUAGCUGGUCUGAGAGGAUGAACAGCCACACUGGAACGGGGACACGGUCCAGACUCCUACGUGAGGCAGCAGUGGGGAAUAUUGCACAAUGGGCGCAAGCCUGAUGCAGCCAUGCCGCGUGUAUGAAGAAGGCCUUCGGGUUGUAAAGUACGUUCAGCGGGGAGGCGUUACCCGCAGAAGAAGCACCGGCUAACUCCGUGCCAGCAGCCGCGGUAAUUC
rnacentral:rRNA from 1 species